rnacentral:rRNA from 3 species
ACCUCGGAUCAGGUAGGAAUACCCGCUGAACUUAAGCAUAUCAAUAAGCGGAGGAAAAGAAACCAACAGGGAUUGCCCUAGUAACGGCGAGUGAAGCGGCAACAGCUCAAAUUUGAAAUCUGGCCUUCGGGUCCGAGUUGUAAUUUGUAGAGGAUGCUUUUGGUGAGGUACCUUCCGAGUUCCCUGGAACGGGACGCCAUAGAGGGUGAGAGCCCCGUCUGGUUGGAUACCGAUCCUCUGUAAAGCUCCUUCGACGAGUCGAGUAGUUUGGGAAUGCUGCUCUAAAUGGGAGGUAUAUGUCUUCUAAAGCUAAAUAUUGGCCAGAGACCGAUAGCGCACAAGUAGAGUGAUCGAAAGAUGAAAAGCACUUUGAAAAGAGAGUUAAAAAGUACGUGAAAUUGUUGAAAGGGAAGCGCUCAUGACCAGACUUGGGCUUGGUUGAUCAUCCAGGGUUCUCCCUGGUGCACUCUUCCAGCCCAGGCCAGCAUCAGUUCGCUGUGGGGGAUAAAGGCUUCGGGAAUGUGGCUCCUCCGGGAGUGUUAUAGCCCGCUGCGUAAUACCCUGUGGUGGAC